AACUCCGCACUAAUACUUCAAAUCCUUGAAAUCGCACCUCACUUCCAAAAAGUCCGAUAGUUAAUCAGAAUUAUGAGAUUUGUUUUUAUAACUAUGGCACAAAAAACAGAGAAAGCAGAGAUGGAAUUAAAGGUCAUGUUGGAGACCAUCACGCUUUGUGUUAAACGUAGCGUUGCAGGUAAUUCAUUUGGGUUCUUUUGCGCCACCAUGAUAAAAGAAGAUUUCUUCUUUGGGAGUUGGGUUUUGGGGGCGUGGGGGAGUUCAUGGAAGUCAACUUGUUUUUCUGUUUAUUUGUCUGUCUUUUACGGACCAAUUGUAACUAUUGCAUAUUAAUGAACUAGU
rnacentral:lncRNA from 1 species